GUGUCUUUAAAUUGCGGAGAAUACAGAGAACAUGUAGAAAACCUAUCAUUUAUGCAAAGAAAUCUCUUACAAAUUGUUACUAUUGACAACGACCCUUUUAGCUUCUUGCUGCUACCAUUGAAUGGAAUCCCAUGCCUUCCAUUAUCUCCAGCAUAGCCUUCUGAUAAUCAGGUAGAAACUUCUCUUCUAAUAAUGGUUUUUUCAAACGGAAUUACGGAUGCUCCAUUCUAUUAGAUACACACUUAUCCUUUGCUCUGUUCAGUGCCUUCUUCACCUUUUAGAGGACUUCCUGUUGGUGACCCUUCAACACUUCCUCCCUCUCUUCAAACACCUGGCCCUGGGAAAAGACGUCAAACCCAUUCUGUAUGAAAAUUUUCACAUGCCUGAAUGGUUUCAGAUUCAUGGAUAUCCUUUAGCACAAGAUUUACGAGACGGAUAGUAGCUAGCAUGUUCGAGUGGAUCAUGCUAUGAAGUCAGUCUGCACAUUCUUUCCACUUAGAGCUUUAGUAGAUGAAGUAAGAAGAAAUUCAUGAAAUGUGUCCACAUUGUAUGUUAUUUCCAUCUUAGGUUGAAAUAAUGUCCUUCGCAAAUUGAAUACCAUAUUCCUGUUUACUUAGUUUAUAUUAGUAUAUACUCCAACACGAAAUUACAAGUCCUGUUAUCUGGGCAAACAAAUGGCCAUUGCAUGAACUCCAGUGGGCUGAUCCGUGGAAAGGAAAAGGCCCAUAAAAGGUUAUAACGAAGGAAAAUAAGGGCCUGUUUGUUUGGCAUCUUUUUGAACAGAACAGAAGUGACAGCGAUGACACAUUUUGAGUAGCAACAGAGAAGUUGCCAUUUGGCAUUGGAUAAGUUGAGACUUGAGACUGUAAGGAGGGAAGCGAUGGCGGUACAGCUCACCCAUCUUUACGGUACACCCAUAAGGCAACGGCCAACGCCGCCGCUCACCGGGCGGAGGACUGCCAUAUCUCAGGUGAGAGCCGUCGCCGAAAAUGCUCAGGAGCUCCUGAAGUCUGGCGAGGUUCAGGCAAUUAGGCCGAAGGAAGCAGUGACGGCCAUAGAUUCGGAGGGGUUUAGACUUUUGGACAUAAGACCGGCAUGGGAGUGGGAGAAAGCUAGAGUGAGAGGGUCAGUGCAUGUGCCGCUGUUUGUGAAGGACGAGGAUAAUGGUCCUAUUGGUCUUUUGAAGAAAUGGGUGCAUUUUGGCUACAUUGGACUUUGGACUGGCCAAUACCUGACGACCUUGAAUCCUGAUUUUAUUCGUGAAGUGGAGGCGGCUGUUCCUGAUAAGAACGCCAAGCUCCUUGUGGCUUGUGGCGAAGGGCUAAGGUCUUUGGUCGCAGUGGUGAAGUUGUACAAAGAAGGAUACAAGAACUUGGGGUGGCUGGCUGGAGGCUUCAAUCGUGCCAAUGAGAGCGACUUCCCGGCCGUCGAAGGGCCAGAGAAACUACAAUACGCAACAAUCGGAGGAGUUUCUUACUACUUCCUCCAAUUGCUUAUCCUCUUGCAAGCGGUGGGUAAGAACAGCUGAGACCAUCCAUAUUCGCUUCUAAUUCCUUUUGGGUUUUUUUUUUUNUUUUUUUUGUAUAAUUUCUCAAUUACAUUGUUCUGAAUCGAAGCUAAAUAGCUUGAAGCAAGUUGAAGGAAUGCAUGUAGGGAUUGUUGUCAUAAUCUUGAGAAAUCCAAUACAUUCAAAGGUGUAAAAAAUCCAUCAGAAA